rnacentral:rRNA from 1 species
AUUGAACGCUGGCGGCAUGCUUUACACAUGCAAGUCGAGCGGCAGCGCGGGGCAACCUGGCGGCGAGCGGCGAACGGGUGAGUAACAUAUCGGAACGUACCCAGUCGUGGGGGAUAACUAUCCGAAAGGAUAGCUAAUACCGCAUACGACCUGAGGGUGAAAGCGGGGGACCGAAAGGCCUCGCGCGAUUGGAGCGGCCGAUAUCGGAUUAGCUAGUUGGUGAGGUAAAGGCUCACCAAGGCGACGAUCCGUAGCUGGUCUGAGAGGACGACCAGCCACACUGGAACUGAGACACGGUCCAGACUCCUACGGGAGGCAGCAGUGGGGAAUUUUGGACAAUGGGGGCGAACCCUGAUCCAGCCAUGCCGCGUGAGUGAA